UAUUGGACAAUGGGCGCAAGCCUGAUCCAGCAAUGCCGCGUGAGUGAAGAAGGCCCUAGGGUUGCAAAGCUCUUUCGCCCGCGACGAUGAUGACGGUAGCGGGAGAAGAAGCCCCGGCUAACUCCGUGCCAGCAGCCGCGGUAAUACGGAGGGGGCUAGCGUUGUUCGGAAUUACUGGGCGUAAAGGGCGCGUAGGCGGCCCGCCAAGUCCGGCGUGAAAGUCCUGGGCUCAACCCGGGGACGGCGCUGGAGACUGGCGGGCUGGAGUCCGGGAGAGGGUGGCGGAAUUCCCAGUGUAGAGGUGAAAUUCGUAGAUAUUGGGAAGAACACCGGUGGCGAAGGCGGCCACCUGGCCCGGGACUGACGCUGAGGCGCGAAAGCGUGGGGAGCGAAC
rnacentral:rRNA from 1 species